AGUUAGGAGGCAGGAGAGCUCGCCUCUGUGCAUAGCCCUGACUUGGAAAAGCUGUGUGACUCUCGAUUGCACUUCCCGGAUUUAGGCACCCCCAGGACCUUAGAAUAAAGGGAGACGGUAGGAAAUGCAAGGUAUCUCCAAGGACUUCAGUGGGGCUGGAGAAAUCACUAGACUAAGACUCCUGCAAUCUGAUGGCUCUGCAUGAAAGAAGAAAGGGGGUGUGUGUGUGUGAUACUGUCCCACACUAGACAUUUAUUCACUCUGAGUCAGGGGUACCGCGUUGCGCUUUAUUUGGAGGCUCAGAGAGAUUCCCUCCAAACAGCUGAUAGUGACAGAGCAGAGGUCGCAAUUCGAUCUGAUGCUGAGCUUAAUGCAGUCAUUGGGAGAAAGAAGGGAGAAGACCAUUCAUGAAACACCCACUACUAAGAUCACAGUCCUACACAGAGAUGGAAGGGAGAGAGGACCUUGGAUUUCCUGGCCUGAUGUGGUACAGCUGCUGAUGGGAAGGGGUGCAAGCAGAGAGAAAGUAAGAUCUGAAGUGACAGACACUUGAUGUGUGAUAGAUAUCAUGCGUGCCUGGCGUAAGUUCUAAUUAAAUUUUCUUCUGGUGCUGAGUGGACUGUUUGCUUUCCAUUAAAUAGAAAAUACUGAAUGAGCAGCUAACAUUUGUUGAGUGGUAAUUACUUGCCCUCUCAGACCUGAGCUGUGUAAGCAGAUCACUUGGCACCAUGUCACUUCCUCCCACCCCCCAUCCCCAUUCACUACCACCCACCCCUGGGAAGAGAAGGAAGCCCCCUGCAACCAGGUCCACACCUGACGUUUUCAGCUUCUAACACAUAGUGGGAGCACAUUCAGUGUCAGUUGAGUUUAUGGACCUCUAAUUUUGGACUUCUACUGAGGAAGGACGAAAGGUCUAGAGGUCAGCUGACCAGCCUGAGAACAAGGCCCUGGGAGGAGAUGGUACCCAUCUGUAAACUUGGCAAACCACUCCACAAAUGCCUGUUCAAUGGGCACACCCAUGUGAAAAUAUCCCCCCCCCCCAGCGAAUGUUUUGAGCCUUUGCUUUCUCCUAGGUGGAUAUUUUGCAAAUCAGGAGACCUUUUAGAUGGUGGGACCUAGCUGGUGAAAAUAGGUUGCUGGAGGUGGGCCUUUCAAGGUAGUAGCCUGGAUUAGUUCCCCAAUUCUCUGCUUCCUGGCCUAUGGUGAGGCGAUGCAAUGAACCUUGCUAUGCCUUGCCCCAAGUCUUCCCCACCACGACAGAAUGGGCUGUCUGAACCGGUGAGUUGAGCUGAUCUUUGCUCUCUUACGUUGUUUCUGCCACGUGUUUGGUCAGAGUGAGGAAAAGUAACAGUACACAUACCCGGAGUAAAGGAAAUCAAGGGGUUACAUUAAGUCUUGAUAUAAAGAAGCAUCUCUUUCAUUUUGACUAGUCUGUUCUCUAGGUGAUGCUGUCAUAAAAACGUGGGAGGAAACGCAAGAGGAACAAAAUCCUUAAAGGAUGUAUGGUAUUUGUUUUCAAAUAUACAAACAAUAAAAUAUGCAAGUCUAUGUGUCUAAUUUAAAUAGGGAUUGUCAGAUAAUCGAAAUGGGACAACAUCUAGAUAAAAAAUAAUAUUUGUGUUUCAAAACAAAAUAAUUAACAGCUCUCGUAGUUUUCGUAUAAUCAGUAAAUACAUAACUCCACGUUGGGCAGUAUUGAAAAACAUUGCAAUAAGUCAAUUAAAAGAAUUUUUUUCUUCAGAAAUUUCUUGUCUUCAUUUUCAGCCCUACAUUAGUUUUUCACAGCAUAAAGGAGUGUUUUGGUAUGUGUAACAUGAAAUUUAGCUACUGGGUUGAUAAGGUCAUAUACUAUAAAUACCCAAUUAGAACAUUUUAAAAGUAUUCAUUUUUUCUGGAUUAAUGGUAGGUAAAUGCUCAUUGGAUUUUUUUUUAAUUUAUAUGUAUUGAUAUUUUGUUUUUAUGUAUAUCUAUUUACCAUUUUUGUGCAUGGUGCUCAUAGAGGCCACAAGAGGGUAUUAACUCCCCUGGAAGUGGAGUUACAGACAGUUGUGAGCUGCCAUGUGGGUGCUGGGAAUUGAACAGAGGUCCUCUGGAAGAGCAGCCAGUGCUCAGCCUCUGAGCAUCUCUCCAGCCUCUCAUUUAAAGAUAUUGUUGAUUUGAAUACAACAAAGUCUGUAUAAUAGAAAUUGAAAAGUAUGCACAAGUCCACUGCUCCAGAUAAAAACCUUUAACCUAUAGACUUCAGACUUUAAAAAUAUAUGUGCAAACACAUAUAUAAACCAAAUAUUUUAUUGAUGGGCUGUGUCUUAUUCACCCAUACCAAUUAAGCUUCUUUGAUUUUCUCUUUUGUUUGCUUUAUGUAAAAUUUGAAAGACAAGGUUACAAGAAAGUCAUGCCAUCCCUGCAGCAAUAUUUUAAUUCUAGCAAGUUUGCAGUUUCCAAAGAUUUCCUGCUGAUCACUCAAAUUUGGGAUAAAAGAACGCAUAAGAACGCUCUCAUGUUUUGUAUCUAAAGGCUUGCAAGUGAGCAAGUGUCCAUUUAUGUGUAAUGAGGAUAACCGCACUUGGGUUCCCUGAAUAUAUGGGAGGUCACUGAAUUUUGUACCCUAGGAAGCAUUCAUUCCUCCAGUCCCCAUUCUAGACAAGGAGACCGAGGAAGAGGCAGAACCAGGAAGCAGAUGUGAUGUGCUCAGAUUAGUCAGCUAUUAAUUCAGCUUUGGCUGGCUCCUAGGUCUAUGUGACUCAGCACGGUGGCCCCACCUGGGUACCACACCUGGGAACCCCACCAUUUGGGGUACUUCUGUUAUUAGUGUAAUGGCUUAAGCAUCUCUCCACUGGUUUGGGGAUUCUCAAGAGGACUUAAAAAAUAAAAUAUUGGGUCAGUCUUGGUAGUAAAGCUGUAAUCCUGCCCCUCAAGAAAUAUCAUUCUAGACCAGCCUGAGUUGCAAUGUAAAAUUCUGUCUCAAAAUUUAGAAGCCGGGUGGUGGUAGCGCAUGCCUUUAAUCCCAGCACUCAGGAGGCAGAGGCAGGCGGAUCUCUGUAAGUUCGAGGCCAGCCUGGACUGCUGUGGCCUCCACAAUGAGAAACAGCAUGUGAAGAUGCAGGAUGUGUGUGCUUUGCCACGUCACGUGUGUGGAGGUCAGAGGACAGUUGGUUGGAGUCAUUUCUCUCCUUUCACCAUCUGGGUCCCCGGGACUGAACACCGGUGAUCAGGCUUGGCCACAAGCUCCUUUACCCACGAAGCAUCUACCUGACUCAACAUGAGCUUUUCUAUUUUCCACGUCUCCUCUAGUGCUGGACUUGAAAGUCGGGACUCUGUAAGUGCUUUGCAAAUGGCCAACCACUGAGCUAGCCUGCAGCCCUCAAGGUGUGUAGAUUCCACAUAGGAUCGAGAUCACAGGGUGGUUUUCCUUCGGACCCUGGCUUACGUCAUUAAUUGUGUCUUCUGGGACAAUCCUUAUUAUUGUAAACGAUAGAAGCAUGAAAGGAAAGUCUAACAAAGAGUGGGGGCGUGUAGGAAAGAAUCUCAUGUUAUUCUAGAAUUUUGAACUAAUUUUCUACAAACAUGUCAUGAUCUACUUCUGGGGGUAUUUCACUGAAAAAAAAUUUACAGUUUUCUUUAAAAAUGAAGCAAAGCAGAAGUUCUACCAACUCGGCUGUCACUGUUUCAUGUGAUUACUUCAAUUGCAUUAUUUGACAUUGUAUAAGACGAUUAGUGUAAACACCAUGCGAAAUAAUGACAAUAAUGUAAAAAGAAAAGGAAGGUAUGUUCUUUAAAAGUUUCAUCAGUUUAAUAUAGUUUGCUUGCAACUUCUGACAUGGCCAGAAGGGAUCUUCCAGUCUGUGGGUGGCCUUGAUACAUCUUCCUUUAGGCCUGUUUCAUUUGGGAUGCCUUGUUGACUAAUGCCAACACCCUUUCUCCUAUAAAACCUGGAGGAUUUGGGAGAACUUUGUGUCCAUGGGUGAUUAAACCAGAUGCUUAGGACUUGACAAAAAACAUCAAUGGGAAUGGGCUGGAGAGAUGGUUCAAGUGGUUCAGAGCACUGGCAGCUCUUCCAAAGGACCCGGGUUCAAUGCCCAGCACCCAGUAACAGUUUACUACUGUCUGUAACUCCAGUUCCAGGGGAUCUGGCACCCUGAUACAGAUGUACAUGCUGUCAUACCCCGAAGUACAUUAAAUAAAAAUGGAAGCCCA